rnacentral:tRNA from 1 species
AUUUAUAUAGUUUAACUUAAAACGAUUCAUUUUCAAUGAAUAUAUGAUAUAAUUAUCUUUAAAUA